CGGUGUUGGGCUGCGGGAGCUGCUGGUAUCACUGUGCUCCUGUUACACGUCACUGCUGGUGCUGGCGGGGGCCAGGCAUCAGUGUCACUGGUGCUGGUGUCCGUGCCUGUGUCCAGAGAUGUCCACGGUGUCGAGGGGACUCCCCCUGGAUGGCUUUACCCGCCCAGCGCCCAGCGUCCUGGCUUAAGCCCAUCUCGCAUUCUCUUUGUACAGGUGAGGAAACAAAACCAGAGCGGGGCCGCAUGGCUUGUCCAAGGUCACUCAGCGCGUGGGUGCGGCGCUGGGAGCGCGGCCCGGGCACCUGCUUCCCAGCUUGCCCUCCAUCCGCUUUCCACAGGGAGAUGGUUGACUCCCCGCCUGUCCAGCUGGUAUCUUAAUGAAACAUAUUUCAUGGAAAAUUGUGGAUGGAUGACUUGGGCAUUCUUUCCAGAAAAGCUGUCAGUUCAGAUUAGGCUCGGAGGGGUGACCGCACAGUUGGUGGGUGUCACUUAGAAAUGAUAAUAAUGUUGGCCUUUCCGAAGGCAUUCUUUAUGUGCAGAGAUGCAGAGGACGGGCCCUUCACAGCUGGGAUGGUGAUGUUUGUCACACGUCUCCUGCUCCGUCCGACCACGGAGAGAGCCCCGGGACCACAGAGUCGCACAGCAGUGCUGACCAGAGCCGUGGAUCCUGCUGUUUGUGGCCCCUUCGCCUCUCAAGGGUGACAGGCGCAUCUUGGAGUUCGAGCCGUGCUGAUGGGGCCGGAUCUAGUUCACUCGUAACCACCGUUGGGCCUCUUGUCGUGCGAACAACCAGUAUGGACACGUUUCCCCGGGCAGAGACCUUCUUUCCGCGUGCCACUUUUGCUCUGACGAAUAAGCCUCUGGGAACAAGCGUCGUGGUGAGCGAGCGCACGCCGUCGCCGGCAGGGAGCCACCCAGAGCGGAACCGUGCGGUCCUCGCGGGAGCUCGCGCCACCUCAGCCUCCGCAGGAGCUGCCAAAUUGCUCUCCAAAGUGGCUCCGACAAUUUACCGCCCGCUAGCGAUGGUGAGAGUUCCCGUCUCUCCGCGUUCUCGCCAACGUUUCGUGUUAUCAGACGCAUCAGCAUUUGCCAGGUGAUGGGUGUGAAACGGUGCAUCGUUAAGGCUUUAUUUUGCUUUUUCCUGAUUCUGGGUGUGGAUGAGCACCCCCUCACCCCGGCCCCCGCCGUGCCUCACUGGCCUCUUGGGUCUCCUCGCCCGAGAGCUGCCUGGUUGCGCACUGGCGUUCUCGUCCUCUGUCCAUUUUCCUCUUGGGUCGUUUGGUUUCUUCUGAUUUGUGUGUUUAUUGUAUAGUCACCACCGAGAUGCGAUACAAACAUUCUCUUGUGCUUUUUAAAAACGUUUUACAGUUUUGCAUUUCACAUAUAGGUCUUUACUCCAUCUGGAACUUAUUUUUGUGUUUGCGAUGAGGUAGACAUCUAAUUUUAUCUCUUUAGUCAUUUACCCUGUACUGAUUGUGGCACGCACGGGGACUGGGGUUUUUAACAUGGCUUCACGGGCUCCGUGAACCCCGAGGAUCGUGACAGUCAUAAGCAAGGUUGUGUGCCCGUGUCUGCACAUUUUUCUGAGGAGGGUGCAUAGACCUCACCUGAUUCUCUAAGCCGUCAGGGACCCCAGAUAAUUCGAACAGCCCUGCUCGCUGCCCAGAGCCACUCUGUGAGGGGGUGAAGGCAGGGGCAAGGUUGUGGAUCUUUCUUCUCUGAGGAUCCUUCUUCUGACACUGUCCUUCUUGGGUUUGUUCACUUUUGGCAUUCACCUGGAGCCGUUUGGCAUGCCUGGGCCUCUCCCGUUAGGGAGGAUGACACCCCACCCCACCCCCCACCGAAGAACCAGGAGGGACGUGGGUACGAGACGAUGGUCCGGGAGAAGCCGGCCCAGCCAAGUCCAGGGCUCUUUCCUCCCAUCCAAGUACUAACCAGGCCCGACCCUGCUUAGCUUCCGAGAUCAGACGAGAUCGGGCGCGUUCAGGGUGGUAUGGCCGUAGACUAGGGCUCUUUCCUAUCAGACUUGGACUCCCUGGGCCGCCCUGUCCUGGUGGGGGCAGGAAUGAGCACACGGGGAGGGAGCCGGGGUGAGAG
rnacentral:lncRNA from 1 species